rnacentral:tRNA from 1 species
GGAGAGAUAGCUCAGUGGUUGAGAGCACUGCUGCUCUUCCAGAGGACUGGGUUUGAUUCCCAGUAUUCACA